UUAGAGUACGGGUCAUGCGUGUAGGUCACGUUGCUUUGAUCCGUGUUUAGGACUAAGGUUGCAUGGUUUAGAUCACAAAGCAAAUAUGUAUAAAUAAUUGUAAAAAGAAUAAUGGUCAUAUCCGAAAAACAUUAAUUCGAUGAAGAUCAAUGUAAUGUUUUAUGAAACAGACAGUGAGUGUUUAUCUUCAUUAAAAGAAAAUAUUUUCACUUUUCAUCACAUCAUCGUUGUCGUCAGGAGUUAAGAUUUAUCGUGAAUGUUGCAUUUUUAUAUUUUAAAAUAUGUCAAUCGGAUAUUUUGCAAAAGGGUAACAUCCUACAUUGAUUUUGUCAUAAAGAAUACAUCAAAGAGGAUUCAGGAAGUUUCACGUUGGUCUUUUCUUCCGAUUUAAUAAAUGGCACAAUCUAAGUCGCUUAUACGACACGAAAAAUUAAAAAUAAAUACUCGUAAUACAAUGAUUAUAUAACAGUAAAUAUAAGCAUUUCAUUAAUAAAAUAUAUUUCUUAACAACCAUGA